UUAUACUAAUUAUAUUAUAUAAUAAUAAUAAUAAUAAUAUUAUAUAUUAUAGAAAUUGCUUAUCCCAGUUACUAAUAGACACACGUUACGAACAUGACUUGUAAAAACAAAAACUGUUAAAAUCCCCUGUGGAUCGAUGAGGAAUUGAAAAAUAGUAAAUAAAUAUAUACAUUUUAGGGUUUGAGAGGGAUGAGGCUAAAGGAAUGGAAAAUAAGUCUGGCUGCACAACCGAUUGGCAAACGUACCGCACGUUGAGAAAUCAUGUGACCGAACUGAACAAAAAGAAGAAGAAACUAUGAAACAAAGGUCGAUUAAAUAAAUAAUGACAGUAAAAAGCUUUGGAGCUCCUUCAAUAAGGCAAACUCAGCUCCGUCAGUCAUUGAAUCAGAAUCAGCUCAUUCAUUAUAAAACCCCACUGUUAUUGCCAAACUACCUCAAGGAUCUUUUUAGUUGGCAAGAUAAGCAAACUUAGGCAUGAUGACACGCCAGGAACAAACGCUGACACGACACAUCGAUUGUAUAUCUGACCACAUUAUGACAGACAAGAAGUGUACUUUUGAGUUCUGUUUUAAAGUCAGUGUGGAAGAGGUGAACAAAGUAUUGACAAUAAGGACAUGCCACCGAGGGUCUGACAAUCUGGAUGGAAAAUGACUGAGGAUAAUCGCGGACGAUAUUGACACUCCCAUUUGUCACAUCUUCAAUUUAAGCCUACUAGAAAGUGUGUGACCCCUCAGGCUUGAAGGACCUGAGCCCUAAGACCGUGCCCCAGGACUACCUGACAUGAUGACUCCUUGCUGUCCCCAGUCCACCUGGCCAUGCUGCUGCUCCAGUUUCAACUGUUCUGCCUUGUUAUUAUUCGACCAUGCUGGUCAUUUAUGAACAUUUGAACAUCUUGGCCAUGUUCUGUUAUAAUCUCCACCCGGCACAGCCAGAAGAGGACUGGCCACCCCACAUAGCCUGGUUCCUCUCUAGGUUUCUUCCUAGGUUUUGGCCUUUCUAGGGAGUUUUUCCUAGCCACCGUGCUUCUACACCUGCAUUGCUUGCUGUUUGUGGUUUUAGAGAUAUCAGCUGAUAUCAGCUGAUGUACGAAGGGCUAUAUAAAUACAUUUGAUUUGAUUUGAACAAGCAUGGGAAAACGUGUUUAAACCCUUUA